CGGAUCCGCGCCGCUGCAGAGUUUGAUACCUGGCUCAGGAUGAACGCUGGCGGCGUGCCUAACACAUGCAAGUCGAACGAAGCAUUGCGCCCGACAAAGAGGAGUGCUUGCACAAAUCGGAGUCAAUUGUGAUGACUUAGUGGCGGACGGGUGAGUAACGCGUGGGUAACCUGCCUUAUACAGGGGGAUAACAGUUAGAAAUGACUGCUAAUACCGCAUAAGCGCACAGUAUCGCAUGAUAUGGUGUGAAAAGCCGAGACGGUAUAAGAUGGACCCGCGUCUGAUUAGCCAGUUGGCAGGGUAACGGCCUACCAAAGCAACGAUCAGUAGCCGGCCUGAGAGGGUGAACGGCCACAUUGGGACUGAGACACGGCCCAAACUCCUACGGGAGGCAGCAGUGGGGGAUAUUGCACAAUGGGGGAAACCCUGAUGCAGCGACGCCGCGUGAGCGAUGAAGUAUUUCGGUAUGUAAAGCUCUAUCAGCAGGGAAGAAAAUGACGGUACCUGACUAAGAAGCUCCGGCUAAAUACGUGCCAGCAGCCGCGGUAAUACGUAUGGAGCAAGCGUUAUCCGGAUUUACUGGGUGUAAAGGGAGCGUAGACGGUGUGCCAAGUCUGAUGUGAAAGGUGUGGGCUCAACCCGCAAACUGCAUUGGAAACUGGUGUACUUGAGUGUCGGAGAGGUAAGUGGAAUUCCUAGUGUAGCGGUGAAAUGCGUAGAUAUUAGGAGGAACACCAGCGGCGAAGGCGGCUUACUGGACGAUAACUGACGUUGAGGCUCGAAAGCGUGGGGAGCAAACAGGAUUAGAUACCCUGGGUAGUCCA
rnacentral:rRNA from 1 species